CUCAGCUUGGCGGCUGCCUGCCCGAGGUCUCCAGAAAAGGCAGCCAGCUCCUAGUUGAAGUCCUCCCACUUUACUUCCCCUUCCUUCCCCCUGCCACUCCCUCUCUUCUCCUUCACCCCUCCUUCCCUUCUGCCUCCCGUUCCCUCUGCUUCCUCCUUCUUCCCCCUCUUCCCCACCUCCUCACACACCCCAUUCUCACCUUCUGCUAUUUACAAAGCCCUUUCCCCUGUAUGAUCUCAUUUGCUGCUCACAGACUCCUAGGGAAGAGGGACAGGUUGAGCCCUCCCUCACUCCCUGGCACACUUUGAGGACACAGUGCGGAAGUGCUUAUAAAGAUCCCGUUAUCUGACUGUCACCACCAGCAAAUAGCUUCACAAAAGCUCUUUAGUCUGUUU
rnacentral:lncRNA from 1 species